AGUUUGAUCCUGGCUCAGAUUGAACGCUGGCGGCAGGCCUAACACAUGCAAGUCGAGCGGUAGAGAGAAGCUUGCUUCUCUUGAGAGCGGCGGACGGGUGAGUAAUGCCUAGGAAUCUGCCUGGUAGUGGGGGAUAACGUUCGGAAACGGACGCUAAUACCGCAUACGUCCUACGGGAGAAAGCAGGGGACCUUCGGGCCUUGCGCUAUCAGAUGAGCCUAGGUCGGAUUAGCUAGUUGGUGAGGUAAUGGCUCACCAAGGCGACGAUCCGUAACUGGUCUGAGAGGAUGAUCAGUCACACUGGAACUGAGACACGGUCCAGACUCCUACGGGAGGCAGCAGUGGGGAAUAUUGGACAAUGGGCGAAAGCCUGAUCCAGCCAUGCCGCGUGUGUGAAGAAGGUCUUCGGAUUGUAAAGCACUUUAAGUUGGGAGGAAGGGCAGUAAAUUAAUACUUUAGCUGUUUUGACGUUACCGACAGAAUAAGCACGCGACUAACU
rnacentral:rRNA from 2 species